GAUGAACGCUAGCGGCAGGCCUAAUACAUGCAAGUCGAGGGGCAGCGGGUGUAGCAAUACAUGCCGGCGACCGGCGCACGGGUGCGUAACGCGUAUGCAACUUACCUCUAACAGGGGAAUAGCCCCGAGAAAUCGGGAUUAAUACCUCAUAACAUUUAUCAUUCGCAUGUUUGAUAAAUUAAAGCUCCGGCGGUUAGAGAUGGGCAUGCGUGACAUUAGCUAGUUGGUGAGGUAACGGCUCACCAAGGCUGCGAUGUCUAGGGGUUCUGAGAGGACAUUCCCCCACACUGGUACUGAGACACGGACCAGACUCCUACGGGAGGCAGCAGUAAGGAAUAUUGGGCAAUGGACGCAAGUCUGACCCAGCCAUGCCGCGUGCAGGAUGAAGGCCCUAUGGGGGUUUGUAAAACCUUGGCCUUUUUUGUACGGGGAAGAAACCUUCCGCACGUGUGCGGAAUUGACGGUACCGUGCGAAUAAGGAUCGGCUAACUCCGU
rnacentral:rRNA from 1 species